rnacentral:rRNA from 1 species
AUUGAACGCUGGCGGCAGGCUUAACACAUGCAAGUCGAACGAGUGGCGGACGGGUGAGUAAUGCAUCGGAAUCUAGCUUGUGGAGGGGGAUCACUACGGGAAACUGUAGCUAAUACCGCAUACCAUAGGAUGAGCCCAAGUGGGAUUAGGUAGUUGGUGAGGUAAAGGCUCACCAAGCCGACGAUCUCUAGCUGGUCUGAGAGGAUGACAAGCCACACGGGAACUGAGACACGGCACAGACUCCGACGGGAGGCAGCAGUGGGGAAUAUUGGGCAAUGGGGGAAACCUGACGCAGCCAUGCCGCGGGAAUGAAGAAGGCCUUCGGGUUGUAAAGUUCUUUCGGUAGCGAGGCGUUAACUACAGAAGAAGCACCGGCUAACUCCGUGCCAGCAGCCGCGGUAAUAC